UAGGGAAUAUUGGACAAUGGGGGCAACCCUGAUCCAGCCAUGCCGCGUGAGUGAAGAAGGCCCUCGGGUUGUAAAGCUCUUUUGUCCGGAAAGAAAAGCUUCGGGUUAAUACCCCGGGGUUCUGACGGUACCGGAAGAAUAAGCACCGGCUAACUUCGUGCCAGCAGCCGCGGUAAUACGAAGGGUGCAAGCGUUACUCGGAAUUACUGGGCGUAAAGCGUGCGUAGGUGGUUGUUUAAGUCUGAUGUGAAAGCCCUGGGCUCAACCUGGGAAUGGCAUUGGAAACUGGGCAGCUAGAGUGCGGUAGAGGGUAGUGGAAUUCCCGGUGUAGCAGUGAAAUGCGUAGAGAUCGGGAGGAACAUCUGUGGCGAAGGCGACUGCCUGGACCAGCACUGACACUGAGGCACGAAAGCGUGGGGAGCAGACA
rnacentral:rRNA from 1 species